rnacentral:lncRNA from 1 species
UUCAGUCAUAAGGAAUUAUUUGAUUUCUAUAACAAGCUAGAGACCAUACAAGCACAGCUGGAUUCCCUUACAUGAUGUUCUUGAAGACUGGUUUCUCUGUCACACUCCUGCCACCUCAUUAUUUUGCAUUGAAGAUAAACUGCCAGGUUGUGUUUUCUGAAGGAUUCACUAGCUUUCUUCUUGUAAAUUAUACAGCUUACUGCUUUGUAGACAAAUAACCGCCAAGGAAGAUCACUGUUCUGAGUGCUCAGGUUCCAAUAUGCAUUCUCUUGUUCUGAGAGCCAACAGCAAGUAAUGGUUAAGAACACUUCUGCGUUAAAGAAAAUAGCUGUGAAUAUCAUGUGGUUAUUACUGUCCUGUUUUUGUUUUAUUGCCUGACCCGUUUAUUUUUUACAUACUUGAUGAUACUUGUAGGUAUCAAAGAGGGUCCAUGGAUACAAAGUAUACUGUAUAUUUUAAAAUAGGGAACUUUAGUGAUUACAUUGAUAAAAAUAAGUAGCCACAUGCAAUUAAGUACAUUAUGAUUUUUUUUCUUUAAUACAGUGAGUAUAUUUUCUUGGGAAAUAAUACAGGGAGGACAUUUUAAAUAGAACUAGUACUAGCAUAUCAUUCAGUUCCAGUGUGAGCAUCUCUGUGCACUUUAGAUUUUUCUCUACAUUUAAUGAUUUAGUAACAGUUUGGGGGUUUGUGUGCUUUUCUUUGUACUGCAAAUUAAUAAUGAUUAAUUAUUAAUUUCAUAGCAUGGGAGACAGAUCCACAUAAUGAGUAAAAAAUAAUUGUAAUGAGUGCCAAACAAAUAUCCUUAAAAUUCUAAAACAUACUUUUUACAUUCUCUUUCUAUGAAUAUGUUAAUUAAUUUCACUCAAUAAGAUUUUUUGUCUCAGAAUUAUUUGAACUGAAGUGCACAGCAUUUUAUUCUGUGGAUGUAUAUAAAUAUGAGUAUGGUUGUCUGCAGAAAAUAAUAUCACUUGAAUUUUUAUGAAUGAAAUGUCUGUACUACAUUUUUUUUCUAGAGAGAAAGACAGACAUGAGAGAGAAUAACAGAGAUACAAAUAUGACUUCACAUGAAAGAAUUGGAUUUCAGACAUACCCUAUAGUUAAAUGGAGUCACUGAAUUUAAGUCACAUUUCUUAUAUGAGGUUUCUGAGUAAUAGGAAUGUUAAAUGACUCCCAGAUAUAUGUUCAGUAUAUGGAAUGUAUGCACUUACUUAUUUUAUAUGUGCUUAUAUAUUGUUGUUUAGAAGGCUUAGGAAUUUGGAUUAUUUCAGAAAGUAAAUAUUACAGUGGCUGUCCAUAGUUGGUAGACUUGAAAAGUUUUUAAACUCAAACUUCCACUGAUAGGAUAUCUAGAAGACAUGUUUAGAAUGGGAUUUGUUUCUAUAUGUAGCUGUGUGGUCCGUCUUAAAUUUUUAUAUUCUGUUCUGCUGGUCCCCAGAGGUAACCACAUGACCACUAUAAACGUUUUGGUAAAUACUCUUUCAGCUGAUUUCUUAUAUACAAAUAAACAUGCCUCAUUUCAAGUUGAAUUUAUUAGGCCUUCCUGACAGAGACCAUAUGGAUAGACAGAAGUUUUCAUUGGUUUAAUGGCCAACUUAACUCCCAGUAUAGAUAUCUAAAUUAAAUGUGACACUUCCAAGCAAAAUUUCUUAUUAAGUAGCUUAAAAUAGUGAUAAAUUGUUUUCUCUCCAUCAGUAUAGUUCAGGAAAGUCUGACCAAAGGCAUUGCAGAAAGGACCAGUAAGCAGUAGGUUUAAUUCCAACUAAGAACAUAAUUAUUCUUGAAAUAUAGUUUUUUUCUUUUCUUUCUUUUCUUUUUUUUUUUUUUUCUUUUUUUUCUUUUUAGGGCCGCACCUACAGCCUGUGGAGAUUCCCAGGCUAGGAGGCCAGGGAUGGAACCCACAACCUCAGAUUUGUUUCUGCUGUGCCGUAGCAGGAACUCCCAUCCUGAAAUAUAUUUAUUGUAGAUAAUUUUAUUUCUUAAGGUAUCACCAUUGUUACAAUACACAAGUCAAAAAAAAGUAUCAUUCCCAAGGAUUAUUAAAUGUGUGUUACUUUUUCAGAGAAGUAAGAUGGGUGGGGCAAUAAGUGGGAACUGAAACCUAUUCUCUUAGUACAUUAACAUGUAUUGCAAGUUGCUUAUCAAAAGGAUUGAAUAAAAAUAAAUUACUUGCUAGAAAGGAGCAUUACAAAUAAUGUUUGCAAUUCUUCUGUUAGAAAAUAUGAUUGUUUUUAGUUAGGAAAUACCAAAAAAAAAAAAAAAAACCGUGAAGGAAUAACCUAAAAUUGUAGAAUCUCAUCAUCUAGAAAUGGCCAUUAAUGACAUUUUGGUAGAUUUUAUUGAAAGUUGUUUUUUGUUUUUUGUUUUUUCCAUUCAUAUGUCUUUCUCCUUUUUUUCCUUCUUACAUAACAAAUUGGAUUAAUGCAAUAAAUAUAGUUUCACACUUUGCUUUGCUUCUGUAACAUUGUAACAUAAGGAUUUUUCUUGCCCUUAUUGUGUAAAACAUAAUUUUAACGUAUAUUAAAUUGUCCUUCAUUUAAAUGAGCUACUACGCUUUAUUUAGUCAACCAAUCUAUUUUGGGGCAUUUAGAUUAUUUCCAAUUUUUUAACAUGCUAAAGAAUAUGCUGGGGAAUAUCAUUAUAAAUAAACCUAGACCGCAUGUCUUAUUUUAUUAAUAUAGAUUGCUAGAAUUGGGAUUAUUAUGCCAAAACUAUGAAGAUUUGCUUUCUAUUUUUAUUUCUAAUGUGAUUGUAUUAUAAAAAUAAAAUUGCCUAUUUAAAAAAAAACAGUUAAGAAGUCUCUUUUGCUAUCUCACUCCCCAGAAGCACCUCCCUAACUAGUCGGAAACAUUUGUUUUGUAUCUUUUCACAUGCUUCAUGUAAAUUAAAAUACCCUUGUCUG